UGUUUUCCUCCAUAGCCAAAGAAGGAGAAGGAAGUUUCUGCUGAAGCGGUAACUACAGAGAGCUUUUAACAGUGGGGCUAAUGACAGAGAGAGCAAAGCUGGCAUUAGAUAAGGACAAUUACACAAACCGAGGGACUUGAUGCUUUAAAGUCAUUAAUUCCAGGACCUUCCGGGCCGGUGAGAUGGGAAAACAAAUCGUUACAUUGACAUAGAUGAGGACUGGAGUGAAUGAGGAGGAAUCCACUGAGGCUGCAGAGAUCGCACGGAGAGUCUUCUGGAUGCUACCAUUGCUGUUACAUCUCACCCAGGAAAGAGACAACCAAGAGCCUGGCCUAUGCUUCCUUCCAUGGAGAGGGCACUAAAGGUCCGCAGCCUUCGUUCCUUGUGAACUGUCAUCACCAAUGAAACGUCUACAUGCCUGUGGCUGUCACUUCCUAGAGAUAGAUGUUCUUGCAGCAGAAACAAGUCGGGUGACUCCAAGAGGGCUGAAUCCUUUCACCAACCUGUUCCUGCUGGGCAAGUUCUGCCUGCCAAGAGAAAGGCCUGGAUGGGAGGGCCUGUCUUCCACGCCAGGGGGCAAAUCCUUGCCCAUAAAGCACUGUAGUAUUAUUAAACAUUUUCUAUUUGU